rnacentral:SRP_RNA from 1 species
GCCGGGUGUUGUGGUGGACACCUGUAGUCCCAGCUACUUGGGAGGCUGAGGGAGGAUGAUCACUUGAGCUCAGGAGUUUGAGGUUGCUGUGAGCUGGGAUGCCACAGUAAUCUAGCCUGGGUAACAGAGUGAGACUCUGUCUUAA